AGAACUACCAGGACACUCAGCUGAUGUGCCCUGUUUCACUGUUCUCAGUUCUGCCACCCUACCCAUCACCUUCAAGUGCCUGGAAGAGAACAAUGGCGUGGACAAGCGCGUCACCAGAUUCGUGCUCCCUGUAGGAGCCACCAUUAACAUGGAUGGGACUGCCCUCUAUGAGGCUUUGGCUGCCAUUUUCAUUGCUCAAGUUAACAACUUUGAACUGAACUUCGGACAAAUUAUUACAAUCAGCAUCACAGCCACAGCUGCCAGCAUUGGGGCAGCUGGAAUUCCUCAGGCGGGCCUGGUCACUAUGGUCAUUGUGCUGACAUCUGUCGGCCUGCCCACUGACGACAUCACGCUCAUCAUCGCAGUGGACUGGUUCCUGGAUCGCCUCCGGACCACCACCAACGUACUGGGAGACUCCCUGGGAGCCGGGAUUGUGGAGCACUUGUCACGACAUGAACUGAAGAACAGAGAUGCUGAAAUGGGUAACUCAGUGAUUGAAGAGAAUGAAAUGAAGAAACCAUAUCAACUGAUUGCACAGGACAAUGAA
rnacentral:sRNA from 1 species